GCCGCAGUGGCACAACCUGGUACUGCGAAGGUCUCGAAAACCUUUUUCCGAAAGGAUCUCUCGGUUCAAAUCCGAGCUGCGGCG
rnacentral:tRNA from 1 species